rnacentral:rRNA from 1 species
UACGUAGGCAGCAAGCGUUGUUCGGAAUUACUGGGCGUAAAGAGUGUGUAGGCGGUGUUCUAAGUCUGGUGUGAAAUCUCCCGGCUCAACUGGGAGGGUGCGCUAGAAACUGGAAUGCUAGAGGAUGGGAGAGGUAAGCGGGAAUUCCUGGUGUAGCGGUGAAAUGCGUAGAUAUCAGGAGGAACACCUGUGGUGUAGACAGCUUACGUGGACAUUUCUGACGCUGAGACACGAAAGCGUGGGUAGCAAACAGG